CUGAAGGCAUUUGAUACUCAGGGAAUUUUUCUUGGCGACUGUGUUGGAAAGGGUCUCUGAUUUAUAUCAUGAAAUAAAUUUUAUCAAUUUAUGUAUUUUCUGAGACCCGUGUAUAGAUGAUAGAAUAAUAAGACUUAUGGGAGAAUAAGAAUAUACACAUCUCUAACUUUUCUACGAAUAGAGUAAUUUAUGAAAAUUAUGCAUUUAUCAUGCCAAAAGGAAGGAGAGAUAACAUUAACAUACUUGAAUCGAUUCUCUUGACAAUCCCUCUAAUACGCUUCUUUUGCAAAAAUAUAUAUCAGCAGAUCGAAGCUGGAAAAAUCCAUAUAAUAUUCUUGAGAUUUAUAAUGUCACCGCAGGGAUUGGUGUGCACCAAUGAUUCCGGGAUAGGACGUUAAGCACAUAUAGAGUCUAUUUGCAUUGUAAUUGAUUGUGAUUGCGUAUUCGAAUUAAGUAAGCUUACAAGAGGUUCUUUCAUAGUUGGGGAGUU
rnacentral:lncRNA from 1 species